rnacentral:rRNA from 1 species
UACGAAGGUCCCAAGCGUUAUCCGGAUUUAUUGGGUUUAAAGGGUGCGUAGGCGGCUUAUUAAGUCAGUGGUGAAAGCUCCAUGCUUAACGUGGAAAUUGCCAUUGAUACUGAUGAGCUUGAGUAUAUUUGAAGUGGGCGGAAUGUGUCGUGUAGCGGUGAAAUGCUUAGAUAUGACACAGAACACCGAUUGCGUAGGCAGCUCACUAAACUGUAACUGACGCUGAGGCACGAAAGCAUGGGGAUCAAACAGG